UACGAAGGGGGCUAGCGUUGCUCGGAAUCACUGGGCGUAAAGCGCGUGUAGGCGGCUCGGUAAGUCCGCUCUGAAAGUCCGGGGCUCAACCCCGGGAGGCGGGUGGAUACUGUCGAGCUCGAGUCCGGAAGAGGCGAGUGGAAUUCCUGGUGUAGCGGUGAAAUGCGCAGAUAUCAGGAAGAACACCCGUGGCGAAGGCGGCUCUCUAGUACGGUACUGACGCUGAGACGCGAAAGCGUGGGGAGCGAACAGG
rnacentral:rRNA from 1 species